UAUGAGUAAUGGCGUGUAGGCCUAAGUU
rnacentral:sRNA from 1 species